rnacentral:ribozyme from 1 species
GUUUUUUUUUUUUUUUUUUUUUUUUUUUCUU